rnacentral:rRNA from 1 species
GUGCCAGCAGCCGCGGUAAUACGAAGGGGGCUAGCGUUGUUCGGAAUUACUGGGCGUAAAGCGCAUGUAGGCGGCGAUUCAAGUCGGGGGUGAAAUCCUGAGGCUCAACCUCAGAACUGCCUUCGAUACUGUAUUGCUGGAGUAUGGAAGAGGUAGGUGGAACUGCGAGUGUAGAGGUGAAAUUCGUAGAUAUUCGCAAGAACACCAGUGGCGAAGGCGGCCUACUGGUCCAUCACUGACGCUGAGAUGCGAAAGCGUGGGGAGCAAACAGGAUUAGAUACCCUUGUAGUCC